rnacentral:rRNA from 1 species
AUUGAACGCUGGCGGCAUGCCUUACACAUGCAAGUCGAACGGCAGCGCGGGAGCAAUCCUGGCGGCGAGUGGCGAACGGGUGAGUAAUAUAUCGGAACGUGCCCAGUAGUGGGGGAUAGCCCGGCGAAAGCCGGAUUAAUACCGCAUACGACCUGAGGGUGAAAGGGGGGGAUCGCAAGACCUCUCGCUAUUGGAGCGGCCGAUAUCAGAUUAGGUAGUUGGUGGGGUAAAGGCCUACCAAGCCUGCGAUCUGUAGUUGGUCUGAGAGGACGACCAGCCACACUGGGACUGAGACACGGCCCAGACUCCUACGGGAGGCAGCAGUGGGGAAUUUUGGACAAUGGACGCAAGUCUGAUCCAGCCAUUCCGCGUGCAGGAUGAAGGCCCUCGGGUUGUAAACUGCUUUUGUACGGAACGAAAAGGUCUCUCUUAAUACGGGGGGCUCAUGACGGUACCGUAAGAAUAAGCACCGGCUAACUACGUGCCAGCCGCCGCUGUAA